GGGAAGAAGGGGGAGAAAAGGGGAUAUCAUGGCAACAAAAAAUAAUUAGUUAACUAAUUAAUCAAUUCUUUAUCAAAAAAACUAAUUAAUCAAUUAAAAUAUAAGUAGAGAAAGGAUGGAGCAACUGGGCAAUCAUGCGCAAACUUGUGUGCGGCAUUCAGUGGAUUUCUUUUGUUUUUUCUAUAUUUUUUUAAUACGAUUGGUUUCCU
rnacentral:lncRNA from 1 species